GAAGCCAACACUCCACGGCCCACCAACACUUAGCCAACAAUGCAAGUUCUACGAUGUUCCUCACACUUCUGCUACAAACAAAACUUCCCUCCACAAGCCCAGGCCUGCACCAUGGACCGCUCUCAGCUCCGCCACCUACUGUACCUGGUCCUUGUCGUUGGAGUGGCAGGAAGUAGCUUCAGCACCACCCAAACAGUUAACAGUGAUACUGGUGGAAAUGGCAAUUCCACUCAUGGCAUCAGUCACAGCUCAGUGAGUUGGCCUGUACAGACCACUGUGGCCAUAACGUAUCCCACCAGCUCUGGCUCGGUUACCAAGGAGGAGACUGCUGGCUCCAUGAACUCCACCAGCUCCAGCAGCUCCAGCAGCUGCACCAGCUCCACCAGCUCCACCAGCUCCACUUCACAUUGUGUGCUGCAGAACAAGGAGAUGUUUGGGGUGGUCCUUGCCCUAGGCGUGACCGUCAUGCUCUUCGUGCUGCUGCUGGUCACUACCAUUGUGCUGGCCUUUCACUUGUUCCAAAUAACGGAAUGGCGCCCCUCUCCCCGGCCCCUCCGUUCCAACGUCGACCUCAUCCGGAGCCAGAUGGCGCUGGAGGACGGGACCCUCGCGGACACCGACGUGCUGCUGGUCCAAGUCGAAUUGGACAAGGUGGACAAGGAUGGCGACACGAAAGAGGAGCCUCAGCAGAGUCCUCCCCCGACGAGCAGCACCCCGGAGCCUGAGAGUGGCCCGCCCCCCGCUGACCCGGCCCCCGAUCCCACCCCCAGCGUAGAUCCGGCAGCCGCCGAGUCCGCAGAUGCUGCAGGAGGAGCCUUGACAGCAUGACCCCCACCAGUGAAGUAGGUUGCCAAGGACACUGACAAUAAGCUAGUUGCACGUUGGGGUCAGUUGCAAAGCUAAUGCUUCAAAAAAGUAACCAAGCUGUUGAUUCCUGGAAAGAUUUGGACUCAGACUGACUCAUUUCUCACUUGGCAUUUCUAUUUAAUUUGCAAUAAAGUGCGAAUGGUCUGGUGUAACA
rnacentral:lncRNA from 1 species